rnacentral:rRNA from 1 species
GAUGAACGCUGGCGGCGUGCCUAAUACAUGCAAGUCGAGCGAACGGACGAGACGCUUGCUUCUCUGAUGUUAGCGGCGGACGGGUGAGUAACACGUGGAUAACCUACCUAUAAGCCUGGGAUAACUUCGUGAAACCGGAGCUAAUACCGGAUAAUAUUUUGAACUGCAUGGUUCAAAAGUGAAAGACGGACUUGCUGUCACUUAUAGAUGGAUCCGCGCUGCAUUAGCUAGUUGGUAAGGUAACGGCUAACCAAGGCAACGAUGCAUAGCCGACCUGAGAGGUGGAUGGGCCACACUGGAACUGGGACACGGUCCAGACCCCUACGGGAGGCAGCAGAAGGGAAUCUUCCGCAAUGGGCGAAGGCCUGACGGAGCAACGCCGCGUGAGGGAGGAAGGUCUUCGGAUCGUAAAACUCUGUUAUUAGGGAAGAACAGAUGUGUAAGUAACUGUGCACAUCUUGACGGUACCUAAUCAGAAAGCCACGGCUAACUACGUG